CUAAUUCAGAAAGUCCCCAGGCUCUACCAUCUGAAAGAACCCAGUCAACUACACAGCAGCUGACUCAAGGAGACCAGUUCACAAGUUCGGAGUUACCAUCUGCAUCUGUGUCCUCUUUGGGUGUUGAGUGUCCAGAUGCUAAUGGAAGCAGAACAGGUGGUCAGUACGCAGAGCAAUACCAAAGGCCCGAGGUUAAUGUAGAUGAUGUAUCCCUAUCAAAUCCUUACCAGAUUCACCAGUUCUGGAUGAAGCGGAAACCGUAGGAGGCAGUGGUGACAGGAAAUAGGCAACUGCAAUGGAGCAUAUCUGUCUGAUGAGAGGCUCUAUGGGGCAACAAAGG